rnacentral:rRNA from 1 species
UUUUUACAAUGGAGAGUUUGAUCCUGGCUCAGGAUGAACGCUAGCGGCAGGCUUAACACAUGCAAGUCGAGGGGCAGCGUGAUGAAGUAGCAAUACGGAUUUGACGGCGACCGGCGCACGGGUGCGUAACGCGUAUGCAACCUACCUUUAACAGGGGGAUAACACUGAGAAAUUGGUACUAAUACCCCAUAAUACUUUGAAGGGCAUCCUUUGGAGUUGAAAGUUCCGGCGGUUAGAGAUGGGCAUGCGUUGUAUUAGCUAGAUGGUGAGGUAACGGCUCACCAUGGCGACGAUACAUAGGGGGACUGAGAGGUUAACCCCCCACACUGGUACUGAGACACGGACCAGACUCCUACGGGAGGCAGCAGUG